UGGGCAACCUGCCCCUCUCUCUGGGAUAACCCUGGGAAACCGGUGCUAAUACCGAAUACGACCACCUCAGGCAUCUGAUGGUGGUGGAAAGUUCCGGCGGUGAAGGAUGAGCUCGCGGCCUAUCAGCUUGUUGGUGGGGUAAUGGCCCACCAAGGCAACGACGGGUAGCCGGCCUGAGAGGGUGACCGGCCACACUGGGACNGAGACACGGCCCAGACCUCCGUACGGGAG
rnacentral:rRNA from 1 species